rfam:Nematostella vectensis strain CH2 x CH6 NEMVEscaffold_336_Cont24226, whole genome shotgun sequence.
GCUGUGAUCGUAUAGUGGUUAGUACAUUACGUAAUGUCCGCAAUAACCCAGGUUCGAAUCCUGGUCACGGCA